UGGAUUCAACCCAAUUCAAAAUUGAUUCCCAUAAAUUACAGCAAUCAAUUGAGAUAGGUAAGGCAAUAUAGAUGAAAAAGGAAGCAUAUCACAAUUUCGGCCAGAUCAAGAUAAGUAAGGCAAAGGCGAUUUUUUAUUUAUUUAUUUUUUUAUGGAUUUCGAUUUUUUUUGUGAUGAUUAAUAAUCAAGAAGGUGCAGCCAUGGACACUCAAGCUUUCACUGAAAUCAACAACGAAGAAAAGGAAAACUAAAAAAAAAAAUCCUAGAUCCUAAGAUAAAUAAGAAUUUACCUCACUUUGGCUCUGAUACCAACUGACGCGGAACCCUAUGGCACAAGCCUCAAACCCACACGCACAAGUAGAUAUGGAAUCCAAAGAUUUGAUAAACCCACCUCCUAUGGCUUGCCAACUAAUCUUCUAUACCUUUCAGGAUCUGCAAAUGGCUCACUGUCUUCUGUGGUAAGUUGAAGGUUAGGGGUCAUUGGGGCACUACAAGGCUUAGCACCCAAUUUUCCUGUUUCUGCUAACAAAUUAAGAACAUAUUUUCUUUGAGAUAAGAAGAUGUCUUUCUUACACUGCAUAACUUAGAUUCCCAAGAAAUAUUUCAAUGAACCUAAAGCCUUUGUAUGAAACUAUGUUUUAAGAAAUUCUUUUAGGGAUGUGAUGCCAGCAAUGUCACUUCCUGUGAUAACGAUAUCAUCCACAUAUACUACAAGCAGAAUUACUCGACUAUCAGAGUUUCUAUAAAGAGUGAUCACACUUACUCAUCUUCAUUCCAAACUGUUGGACCACCUCUCUAAACCUGCCAAACCAUGCUCGAGGACUCUGUUUCAAGCCAUAAAGGGAUUUUUGAAGUCUACAAACCUUGCCUGACUCCCCUGAGCAACAAAACCAGGUGGUUGCUCAAUAUAAACCUCCUUCUGAGGAUCACCAUGAAGAAAAGCAUUUUUAAUAUCCAGUUGUUGUAAAGGCCAAUCAUGUGUAGCUGCCAAGGAAAUAAACAAUCGAACAGAUGCGAGCUUGGCAACUGGGGAAAAUGUAUCAGAAUAGUCAACUCCAUAAGUUUGUGCAUAACCUUUGGCCACUAAAUGGGCCUUGAGGCGAGCAACAGAUCCAUCAGAAUUUACUUUAACUGCAAACACCCAUUUGUACCUAAUAUUCCGCUUUCCUGGGGACAAGGACAUUAACUCCCAAGUACCAUUAGUGUCAAGGGCCAUCAUUUCCUCUUCCAUUGCAGCACGACAACCAGUAUGGGACAAAGCCUCAAUAGCAGUUUUGGGAACUGAAAUAGAAUCUAAAGCAGUAGCAAAACAACGAGAAGAAGGGGAUAAUUGAUCAUAAGAGACACAAGCUGAAAUAGGAUAAGUGCAAGUAUGUUUACCUUUGCGAAGAGCAAUGGGCAAAUCCAAAUCAGACAGUGAAGGAUCAGUGGGAGUAGGAUUUGUCGACGAAGAAGCGGGUAGCGGAGCGAAGUCAAAGUCCUCUAAGCGACUGGAAUAUUUAUGAAAGAUGGGAGGGCGACCUGACACAUGAGCGAAAGGUGUAGGAGUAGUAUGAGGAGACAGAGAGCGAACAAUGUAUAACAAGAGGUCAUCUUCCUCCCUCUGGGUGUUAUAAACAGAUGAUGGCGGGAAAAACGGAGUGGACUCAAAGAAUGUUACAUCCGUAGACACAAGAUACCGAUUCAGAUCAGGAAAAAAAAAGAUACUCUUUCUGACGUCGAGAGUAGCUAAGGAAGACACAUUUGAGUGAUUUGGGAUCCAAUUUAGUAACCUGUGAACGAAUAUCACGAACAAAACAAGUACACCCAAAGAUACGUGGCUCAAUAGGAAACAAAGAUUUAGUGGGAAACAAAAUGUUAUAAGGGAUAUCACCAUGAAGGAUGGAGGAAGGCAUGCGAUUGAUCAAAAAACAAGCAGUGAUACAGCAUCAGUCCAAAAACAUUUAGGUACUUUCAUUUGGAAUAAGAGGGCUCUAGCUACUUUAAGAAGAUGUCGAUUUUUUCUUUCGGCAACUCCAUUUUGUGAAGGAGUGUCAACACAAGAGGACUGAUGAAGAAUCCCUUUUUGUAACAAAUAAGAUUGAAAUUCCCCAGAGAGAUACUUUUUAGCAUUAUCACUUUGCAAUAUACGAAUGAGAAUAUUGAAUUGGGUUUGGAUUUCAGCAUAAAAUGCACAAAAGAUGGAAAAUAAUUUUGAACGACUCUUCAUUAAAAAUAACUAAGUAGUACGAGAGUAAUCAUCAACAAAAGUAACAAAGUACUUAAAGCCAGAUUUAGGCACAGUAGGACAAGGACCCCAAACAUCUGAAUGUACUAACUCAAAGGGGACGAAGCCCGUUUAUUGACUCGAGACACUGAAGGUAAACGAUGAUGUUUGGCAAAUUGACAAGACUCACAAUCUAAAACAGACAAAGAAUGAAACUGUGGAUAUAACAUCUUCAAAGCCGAGAGAGAAGGAUGCUCCAAACGACAAUGAACAUCAAAAGGUGUUAAACGCGUGGAACAUGCAAGAGAUCUAGGUAGUUGCUAAUCCAAGACAUAGAGACCCUCUGACUCACGCCCUCUACCAAUAAUUUGCUUCAUCAAAAGAUCCUGAAAAAUACAGUGAUCAGGAAAGAAUGAGACGCAACAAUUCAAUGUAUGAGUGAGUUUACUAACAGAAAGCAAAUUAAACACGAACUUAGGGAGACAUAACACAGAGGAUACAGAAAGAGAAGGGGUUAAGUUGACAUGACCAGAACCCAUAACAAAAGAUUUAGUACAUCAGCAAGAGUAACAUAAGAAGCCGAUGUAUGAGACUCAAGAUUGGACAAAAGGGUAGAAUUACCUGACAUAUGAUCGGUAGCACCAGAAUCAAUAACCUUAGAGGAUGAAGACACAAGACAUGCAGUAGAGUUACUUGACUCCGCAAUUGCAGUUGUUGAGAUUAUUUCUGUAUAUUGAGAUUAUUUUUGUAAAUAGCCUACAUUUGUAGUCAUAAUUAGGGAUAUGAUUGUGUGAUAUGAUUGGAAUAUGAUUAGGCUAUAAUUAGGGAAUUAAUUUAUUUUCUUACCUAGUAUGUACUCUUGUAAGUCAAGUAGUAUAUAUACCCCAAUUGGCUUGAUGUGAAUAAUCAAGUAUUUUCUCUCAAAUCUUCUACUCUCUUUUUCUUCUUUUCAUCAAAGUUUCAUGGUAUCGAGCCAAGAAAUUUGGUUCACCUUUGAGUGGCAGAUCUGCCACCUUACUUUGGUAACUUUCUGGAAAUCAGUUAGUCUCACCACUCAGCCGAUUCCCUAAGCCAGUCUCCGAUCUAUUUUUCGGCGAAGCACCGCCUCCAGACGCGCCUCCACGCGCCACCCUGCACAGCUUUCUUCCGGCCACGCACCGACGCUUGCACCAUUUUCUGGCGAGUUUUUCACGCCGGCGAUUCUUCUCCUAGCUUCGCCCAGCGCCGGCGACCACAGCCCAGUAGGUCCGGUCGUCAGAUCAGCUUGCCUUCACAUGUCCGUCAUCCACGCGCGGACGCAUGCACAUCCUCCGGCGACCGUUUCACACCGGCGACUCUUCCUCCAGCAUUGCCCGACGUCGGCGACCCCAGCCCAGUAGGUCCGGUCGUCAAAUUUACUGUUCACAGGCGUUUUUUUUGUGCAUAUUCGGCUCCUUUGUGCAGAUUCGGGUCCCUACUUGGUCCCUUGUUGUUUCAGAAUCUCUCUCGACAUGUCUGAGAAGCAAAACACCCUCAAUACAGGUUCCGAGUCUUUUAAACCUGUCGUUUCAAUUGCUACGAUUAAGUUGCAAGGGAAUAAUAAUUAUGUGUCUUGGGCUGCAUCCGUAGAAUUAUGGUUUGUAGGACAGGGGUAUGAUGAUCAUUUAACAAAAAAUGUCACUGAUAUCACUGUCACUGAUAGACCCAACUGGGUUAAGAUUGAUGCUCAACUAUGUAGUCUUUUAUGGCAUUCGUUAGAUCCAAAAUUGCUUGCUUUGUUUCAAUCUUGCAAAACUUGUUGUAAGGAUUGGACUGAGGCCAAAACAUUGUAUACUAAUGAUAUACAACGCAUCUAUAAGGUUGUGUCAGAUAUGGUUCACUUACAACAAAAUCAUCAGGAUAUGGCUAGUUACUUGGGUCAAGUAGAAACUCUGAAAGAUGAAUUUAAUUCUCUUAUGCCCCUUACUAAUGAUGUUGAUGCGCAAGAAGGACAACGUGAUAAAUUUUUUAUGGUUUUGGCAUUAAUUGGAUUGCAAUCUGACCUUUGCUCUGUGAAAGAUCAAAUUUUGACUGGUUUAGUUAUUCCAACUUUAGAAGAUGUGUCAGCUAGGCUCUUACAUAUUUCCCUUAGUAAGAGUGAUGCUACAGAUAUGGAAUCCUCAGUUUUGGCUGUACAAGGAAAUCAAGGACAAGGAGGCAAUCGCAAAGGUAAAGGAAAUAAAUUUCAUUGCUCCUAUUGUGAUAAAAAAGGUCACACACGGGAUGCAUGUUGGGCACUACAUGGCCGACCACCACUAUCCAAUCAAUCUGAUAAUACUGGCAAGCCGGCAGCCCAUCUUGCCCAAUCUAAUGAAAAAGGUCUGCUUCCACAACCUACCAAUAAAUCUCAGGACCUAAAUUCAAUUACUUUAAUUGGAGAGGACUAUAAAGAAUACUUGCAGUUCCAAGCAGCUAAGCAACAUCCUCCAUCUACCAGCAUUGCUCACUCCGGUGAUUCCUUUGCUUGUCUAAUUAAGUCUUCACCUGUUGGUCCAUGGAUCUUAGACUCUGGCGCUUCUGAUCGCAUCUCUGAUAAUCACAAUCUUUUAUCUACUCUUGUUUCACCUUCUACACCAUCUAAAGUCACCUUAGUUAAUGGUUCACAAACUCAAGUUAAAGGAAUAGGAGAUGUAUAACUUCUUUCUUCUAUUUCCUUAACUAUUGUCUUGUUCACUCCUGAAUGUCCAUAUAAUUUAAUCUCCAUUAGCAAAUUGAUGAAAAAUCUUAAUUGUUCAGUAACAUUUACUGCUGAUUCUGUUGUUGUGCAGGACCGGAGUACUGGGAGAAUGAUUGGAACAGGAUCUGAGUCACAAGGAUUGUACCACCUUUCCACCUCUUCAGUUGCUUUUGUUUCUACCACGUCCGCUGAGCUUAUUCAUAACCGUUUGGGACAUCCUAGUCUUCUCAAAUUGCAGAAAAUUGUCCACAGUCUUUCUUCUUUGUCUUCUUUAUCAUGUGAGUCAUGUCAACUUGGGAAACAAACUCGGGCUUCAUUUCCCAAGCGAGUCAAUAACAGGGGCACUUCGAUGUUUGAUAUUGUUCAUUCAGAUAUUUGGGGUCCAAGUCGUGUCAGUACAACUUUGGGAUUUCAGUAUUUUAUUACUUUUAUUGAUGAUUAUUCUCGUUGCACUUCGUUGUUUUUAAUGAAGAAUCGCUCUAAUUUAUUCUCCAUUUUUCAAAAAUUUUGUGCUGAGAUACAUAAUCAAUUUGGUGUUCGCAUUAAGGUUUUGCGUAGUGAUAAUGCACGAGAAUAUCUUUUCUCCUCUUUUUCUCAUUUCUUGUCUACUCAGGGUAUUACUCACCAGACUUCUUGUGCCCAUACUCAACAAAAUGGUGUUGCCGAGCGCAAAAAUCGGCAUUUGAUUGAAACCACCCGCACCUUACUCAUGCAUCAUAAUGUUCCGCUGCGUUUUUGGAGCGAGGUGGUCCUUACUUCCUACUACUUGAUCAACUGUAUGCCUUCCUCUGUUUGCAGCAUCAGAGUCCUUAUUCGGUUCUCUUUCCUAACCAGACCUCCAACCAGUUGUCACUGCGAGUUUUUGGAUGUAUAUGUUUUGUUCAUGAUCAUACCCCUGGUAAAGACAAACUCCAGCCCAAAUCAGUUAAAUGCAUCUUUCUUGGCUAUUCUCUGCUUUAAAAAGGUUACAAAUGCUAUGAUCCCACUACUAACAGAUAUUUUGUCUCUGCAGAUGUCACCUUUUUUGAAACCUCCCCUUACUUUUCUUCUAGUCCAAUGCAUAAAACCUUUGUUCCUAGCGCUUUGCCUGUACCUACACCUCUUAUAUCUCCUUGGCCUCAUGUCAGUCCACCCCUUCAGGUCUACACCCGUCGACCCUAUCCAUCUGCUACUGAUGCAGGUACUUCUAGUGACUCACCUCCAGUUCCAUCAUCACCUCCUUCGGUCAUGUCUUCAGUAGCAACAGCUACUCCUCUUGCUCUCCGAAAAUGUAUUCGCUCUUCUUGCAAUCCUCAUCCCAUUUAUAAUUUUGUGAGUUAUCAUCGUUUGUCUCCUUUCUAUUAUACUUUUGUUUCCACUAUGUCUGCUAUUUCUAUAUCCAAGACAGUUAGAGAAGUAUUGGAUCAUCCUGGUUGGUGUAAUGCAAUAGUUGAAGAGAUGACUACUCUUCAUAAUAAUGGAACUUGGGAACUGGUCUCUUUACCACUUGGCAAGUCUACUGUUGGUUGUCGAUGGGUUUACACAGUUAAGGUGGGACCUGAUGGCAAAAUUGAUCGCCUUAAAGCUCACUUUGUAGCUAAGGGUUACACACAUAUUUAUGGGCUUGAUUACAGUGAUACUUUCUUUCCAGUAGCCAAAAUUGCUUCUAUUCGCCUCCUUAUCUCACUGGCUGCAAUUAAUCACUGGGCCCUUCAUCAACUGGACAUUAAAAAUGCAUUUCUUCAUGGAGAACUCGCCGAAGAAGUCUGUAUGGAGCAACCUCCGGGGUUUGUUGCUCAGGGGAAGUCAGGCUUAGUAUGUCGUUUUCGACGCUCAUUGUAUGGUCUAAAACAGUCUCCAAGAGCAUGGUUCAGAUGAUUCAACAAUGUAGUUCAAUAGUUUGGAAUGUCUCGAAGUGAUUCUGAUCAUCCCGUAUUUUUUCGACAUAAUGGCAAUAGAUGCAUCUACUUGGUGGUCUAUGUUGAUGAUAUUGUCAUUACAGGAAAUGAUCAUGAUGAAAUCUUUUAGCUUAAGCAACAUUUGUUCAGUCAUUUCCAAACUAAAGACCUUAGAAAACUGAAGUAUUUCUUAGGGAUUGAAGUGGCACAGUCUAAAAUAGGUAUCGCAAUUUCUCAACGAAAAUAUGCUUUGGACAUAUUGGAAGAAACAGGCAUGUUAGACUGUAGACUAGAUUUCUCAAGCUGCCCUCCAUUUUUUCUAUAUAUGAGAUUAUUUCUGUAAAUAGCCUAGAUUUGUAGUGAUAAUUAGGGAUAUGAUUGUGUGAUAUGAUUGGGAUAUGAUUAGGCUAUAAUUAGGGAAUUAAUUUAUUUUCUUAACUAGUAUGUACUCUUGUAAGUAGUAUACCCCAAUUGGCUUGAUAGGAAUAAUCAAGUAUUUUCUCUCAAAUCUUCUACACUCUUUUUCUUCUUUUCAUCAAGUUUCAGCAGUGAUAGAGGAAGAAUUAGAGGAUUUCAGAGAUGCCUGGUAUUGGGUGAAUUGUGCAUACUCAUCUGCAAAUAUCAAAAUCCCUUGAUCUGAAGGGGCCUCAACUGCCAUAUACGCCAUUUGUGUGCACUGAUUCUUAUUCUGUAGUUUUUUGACAUGUCUUCUUGGUAUGUCCAGGUUCGCGGCAGUAAUAACAAAUGAUUCCUCCUGAGUCAGAAGUAGAACCUAUUUCCCCAGAACGCUGAGAUCCUUUACCACCAUUAAAACCUCCAUUUUGCCCCCCUCUGUUAUUCUGUCUGCCACUGUCAUUGCGGCUAACAAGGGCACUAGUGGGGUGUGAAGGAAUUAGAGAUUUUGUACGCAAUACCCUAGUGAACACAUCAUGUAAUAAUGAUAUUUCAGAGUCAAAAAGAAUCUGAGAUUUAGCUGUCUCAAACUCUGGAGGGAGACCUACAAGAAAGCUCAUAAUAGCCAUUUGCUCUCGUUGAACUUGUUGAGUUUUCACAUCUGUACUAAAGGGCAUCAAUACAUUAAGUUCUUCAUAAAUUCUUUUAAAAUCCAUGAAAUAGGAUGUCAAAGUUCUAUCAUUUUUCUCGACUCAGUAAAACGCCUUACACACAUCAUAAAUACGGAAAAUAUUCCCUUUGCCAGAAUAUAGAAAUUCCAAAUACUCCAUUAAUUCUUUAACAAAUUCAUAGUGAUUAAUAAGACUAAUCACCUCACUAUGAAUAGAAUUUCGAAUCUGCAGAAACAAACGAGCAUCAUCCCUCAUCCAAUCUCUAUGAGUUUCAUCAGUUGGAGGAUCCUUGGUAAGAUGAUCAUCCCUUUCAAUACUUCAUAAAUAAAUACGGAUAGUCUUACUCCAAUCUAAAAAACUAGAUCCAUUUAAUUUGUGUUCCUUGAUUUUAGUCAUCACACGAAUCACAUCAGUUAAGGUGGUUUUAACUUCAGCCAUAAGGACAACCAACCCAAAAAAUCAAAAUAAACAAAGGAUUAGAAGAAUAGUACCCGUGAACAGUACCAGAUGAACAGUACCCGAUAAACAGUACCAAAAACACUUCCACCCAACACCCGAAUGGCAUACAAACCUCAGAUAUGACAAGGGGACGGUGUGGUGACUCCGGCGAUGGUAAGAUCCAAAUGUUACCCUUUAUGGAUAACUCAAAUUAACAGAGCCCUAAGUCUCCAAAAAAAAUUUUAAAAGUUGACGAGAGAGACAAAAAAAAAUCUCUACGAGAAUGACUCUGAUACUAUGUUGAAGGAUAAUAUUUGUUGUAUUUCACAAUAGAUAUUACAACCUAUUUAUACAUGAGAGACGAUAUCUAAACAGGAAGGAAAAUUAAGCCUAUGAUUAUACAAUCCUAAGAUUAAGCAACUGACCAUCUAUCAAUAUUUACUUUCUAUAUUAACAUAUGAGAAAAAGAGAGAGAGAGAGAGAGAGACAGAUUUGAGAGAAGAGUUUGUGAUUGAUUAUUCUUGAAUGAAUCUGUAGCUGAUCUCUAGCUGGCAUUUAUACAUCUCUAACUGCUUCAGUAACAGAGUAGUUACUGGUAGUUACAACUGCUUACAACAGAAUUAUUCCUUCUAUUCCUGCCUAUACCAACUUCUAGAACUGAGGAUCUCUAUUCUUCUUCUCUCUGCGUAGUAUGUGUCAUACUGCUGCAAGGGCUUGCUAACAUUGUCUCAACUUCUUGCUGCAGAAUAAGUACCUUCUCCUUGUGAAUGUUCAUACUUUGUUGACAAGUUAUUUUCUUUUGUACAGUAAACUUACUUGUACAUGCUAUAGAUGAUUCUUUUUCUUGUACUACUGGGGGUUUUCAUUUAUAAAAUCUAGCAGUUCCUUCGGAAAUUUAGAUGUUAUAUGAAUUGUAUGUUCAUCAUAGUCAUGUUCAUGUGUAGUUUAUUAUGCUUCGUUCUUAUUACUCAGAACUUGUGCAAGUUUAAUUAUGUUCAAAUUUCAGCACCUUAUUUGGCAUGUUUUAACAUUUUUUUUUGGGUUUCAGUUUUGGAUUAAGCUAGUUCUUUCUUACAAAUGAUGCAUAUUUUGCGCUUCAGGUGCUUCUUGGGGAUGUUGGUGCUGGAAAGUCUAGUCUUGUGUUGCGUUUUGUGAAAGGACAGUUUGUUGAAUUUCAGGUUGGUGCAAUUAUCGACUUGGCAGAGGGUGGUUGUUGGUGGCAGGGUGGAUGGGUUACAAUAUUGUUAAUGAAGAUUAUUUAGAACUUGACUAUUGUUUUGUGAUAUUAGGAAUCAACCAUAGGUGCUGCCUUUUUUUCACAAACAUUAGCAGUGAAUGAUGCAACUGUAAAAUUUGAGAUUUGGGACACAGCAGGUCAGGAGAGGUAUCAUAGCUUGGCUCCAAUGUACUAUAGGGGAGCUGCUGCAGCAAUUAUUGUGUAUGAUAUGUCAAAUCAGGUAAGAUAUUCCUUCUUUGCAACAGAGGUUUAUAAAAUGGUGGUUAUAAUUAACUUUUUAUAAAUGUAAAUGAGCCAAGCAUGAGCUCAUUAGGACACAAAAUUAAUGAUAUGAAAAUUUUAAAUUCUAAAUAAUCCAAUGUCCUAAUAUUGAACACGCUUGGAAUUAUAGACCAAGAGAAGCCUGUGUGGUGUAGGGGAAGGUGCAUCUUCUUUAUAGAGAAGCCAACUCCUCCCCUACUCAUCACUCCCUUGCUCAUCAUUAUUCAGUGUGGAGUUCCGGUUCUUCCACCAUACGUACCACGUGAUAAAGCCUUUUUCUUUCAACAAAUAAACAUGAAGGCUAAUGGCUCAAUAGUAUAAAUGCAUGUUUGUGCUUUUAAUGGGCCAUCUUCAAUUCCAUUAAGCUCAAUUUUCUUAUUUUUCCUUUUUAUUUUCUUCUUUUUUUAUCCUUCUUGUUUCUUCCUCUUCUUUUAUUCUUUUUCCAACUUUCUUUUUUAAUUCAAUGGAGGUGUAUUAGAUAGAUAAUAACUUAUAGGCUACAGAAAAAAAAUAUUCAUCUCCCUUUCUCACCAUAAAUAUGAAUAAUUUUAGAAUAGGUAGAUAAGGAGAUUUCAAGUCGAGGCCUUAUUUGCUUUCUAUAACUUGAAAAUGAAGGAAGACUGACUAGGCUACCGUUUGAUUAGCUUUUCUGCUCCUAUCUUUUAUCCUUUUAUAUUUUCUUUUGGUUUCUUUAUUACAUAUAUCAUCUACAAAUCCUAUGCUUUAAUUAAGAUGCAGAAAAGGGAAUCCAACCUCAAGACAAUUGAGAGUAUAUUGCAUAAAAGAAAGUAGAGAAUUAAAAGGGAAUAGAAAAAGAAGAUUCUAGUAACAUACAAGGACAUUAGCUGGUAGAGUAGUUUUUCUGUUAGAGUGAUUUAAGGAGGCCUUGCCAUAUGAAGAUGCUAACAAAAUAGAGCUAGAGACUUUUAUAAAGGGGAGCAUGCUUAACAAAGGAGGUGUAGAAUAUUUCAUUUUAAUUUGCAGCUGCGUAGCUGGGGCUAGCUUGCUAGUUCGGGAGACCAUUCUCCUGGGAUUUAUUGCUCUUAUGUCUUGUAUUUCUUUUAGAAAUUUGGGGAGAAAUCAAAAUCUAUAGGUUCCCAUUAUCUUGCAAGGCAUUUCUGCCAUUGUUUACUCAAUACAACAUUAUAUUUCUCCAAUAUUCUUUUCAAUUCAUCUUUCUCUUGUUCCUAACUCCAUCAAAUGGUCAGAUCUGCCGAAUCCCCAAAUUCACAAUACAACUUUUGGGAUGAAGAUGGAGAGGAACAUGGAAACGCGGCAAGAGUACUGGGUUAACUUCCAUCAAGAGCAGGAAGAAAAUUUUAAUAGGAUUGAAGAAUUACUCAUCGAGUUGUUAAGGAAAGAGGUGACGGCUGGGACCGAUGAAGAUCUAAAAUUUCUUUAUCAACAUAAAUGUGAGUCUGGAAUUUUUCACAUAGACAUUCCUAGUCAAUUCCUAAAAGAUGUCCCAAGAAUGGUGGAAAUACCCAUUUUACUAGAGAUGACCCGCAACAUUGGAUUGAGCAAGCCGAGCGAUACUGAUAUAGUAAAGAAUGACAGAGAACAAAAACACUAUAAAACGAGAUAGAAAACUCAGUUGUAUUAGAUCAACAAGAGAAACUACGCAAACAUUCUCUCACAAUAAUCUCAUUACUGUAAGAAUUAGUUCCAGCUAAGUAUUAGUUACUAAAGGGAAAUAAGAAAAACUAGAAGAGAAUUUGGUAAAGAAAUGACUGAAUACUCAGCCCCAAGGAGCAAGUUCUCCAGUGCAGAAAAGAUCACUCUGCCCUCUAUAUUUUGGAGAAACCACCAUCACUAGCAAAAGGUGUCCUUUUCUCUGUCCCUUUCCUCCCUUAAAUGUUGGGCAAGAAUCUUCCACCAUAACUAAUUCCUGCCAUGUGUCAUAUUCCCAUUUUGUUAGAGUAUUCUUCUUGGGAUUCCUCUUGAAAUUCAGCCAGUUGUGAUUCUCCCUGCAUAGCAGCCAACUGUUAUUUUUGUUUCUUCUUUUUUCUAUAAUACACCUUAUACCCUCUUGAGACUAGACCUUCUCUCUUAUCAUUACUCUCCUGUUGGAGUUCAGCCUUGUCCUCAAGGCUGAAGUAAGGAAAUUGGCCCCGAAAAUCUAAAAGGUUCAUCCAUGUAGUGACGUGGAACCCUAUGGCACAAGCCUCAAACCCACACGCACAAGUAGAUAUGGAAUCCAAAGAUUUGAUAAAUCCACCUCCUAUGGCACCCCACACUUAGAGAAGUUGAAACACCAAUGAUCGAAGGAUUUAUAUGAGAAUCCGACAAACGCCACAAUGAAUAGUUGAUAAGUUAGCCAAGAUUCUUGGUGCAAUUGAUGAAAGCAAAUCCUCACUCUCAUUCAAAGCAAUACAAGCCAAAGGCAUGAAAAGAAUUCUGAAAAUUUUGAUUCAAAGUUGUUCUUACAAGCGUUUUUUAUCCUUAUAUAAUAAGGAGAGAAAAUAAAACCCUAAGACAUUCCUUUUAGGGCUGGUCGAACCACACACAAGACCCAAGCCCAAUCAUACACUAAAAUAACACAUCAAACACAUAAGUAUUAAAAUAUAAGCCCAAAACAUAACCCAACACUCUAAAAACUUAAAAGAUAAAAUAUGGCUAGAAUACAAGCCCAAACAAAACUAAAAUAAAACAAAUGUUUAAAUAAUAAAAUAUAACAAGCCCAUCAUAACAAUGCCGAAUAAAUUAGACAGCGCUAUCUCCAUUACACACCUUAAGCAAGGUGAGUAGCUUAGGUGUACCUUCAAGUUUCGCGAGACAUUUGCCAAUGGCAAACUCAGUCAAUUCUUGGGUUACUUGUUCUUGAAUGUGUAAGUUCAUAGCUGCUUCAAGCUUCUUAGCUUGGCUCCUUGUCACUGGUCUACUAGGGAGCACCAAUGGAUCCUUGCUUCCUUGAUUCUCAUGUGAUUGUGCUUGUUGGUUCGUAUCAUUCCCUCCUUCCUCAAAAAGAUUUAUCCUCAAAUCUGCAACAUGGUCAAAAGGAGACAAGUCAGACACAUUAAAGGUAGCACUAACCCCAUACUCACUUGGUAAGUCUAUUUUAUAAGCAUUGUCAUUGAUUCGCUCUAAGACUUGAAAUGGACCAUGACCACGAGCAUCCAGCUUAUUCUUCCUCUGAUUUGGAAACUGUUCCUUUCGGAAGUGCACCCAAACCCAAUCACCAGGAACAAACACCACUUUCUUCCAUCCCCUAUUUGCCCUGUCAGCAUACACCUUGUUUCUCUUCUUUAUGUUAGACCGAGCCUUCUUAUGUAAGGACUUCACCAAUUCUGCCUUUUUAGCACCAUCUAAACUAGCAAGCUCAUGUAAAGGUAAAGGAAUGAGAUCAAGUACAGUAAGUGGGUUGACGCGGAACCCUAUGGCACAAGCCUCAAACCCACACGCACAAGUAGAUACGGAAUCCAAAGAUUUGAUAAACCCACCUCCUAUGGCACCCCAAACUUAGAGAAGCUGAAACACCAAUGAUCGAAGGAUUUGGAUGAGAAUCCGACAAACGCCACAACGAAUAGUUGAUAAGUUAGCCAAGAUUUCUGGUGCAAUUGAUGAAAGCAAAUCCUCACUCUCACUCAAAGCAAUACACGCCAAAGGCAUGAAAGAAAUUCUGAAAAGUUUGAUUAAAAGCUGCCUCUUACAAUUGUUUCUUAUCCUUAUAUAGUAAGGAGAAAAACAAAUAAAACCCUAAACACUCUUCUUGGGUCUGACUUAAACACCUAAGGCCCAAGCCCAAUCACACACUAAAAUAACGCAUAAGUAUUAAAACAUAAGCCCAAAACAUGGCCCAACACUCUAAAACUUAAAAGAUAAAAUAUGGCCAGAAUACAAGCCCAAACAAAGCUAAAAUAAAACAAGUGUUAAAUCAUAAAAAUAUAGCAAGCCCAUCAUAUCAAUGCUGAAUAAAUUAGACAGCGCUAUCUCCAUUACACACCUUAAGCAAGGCGAGUAGCUUAGGUGUGUCUUCAAGCUUCACGAGACAUUUGCCAAAGGCAAGCUCAGUCAAUUCUUGUAUUACUUGUUCUUGAAUGUGUAAGUUCAUAGCUGCUUCAAGCUUCUUAGCUUUACUCCUUGUCACUGGUCCACUAGGGAGCACCAAUGGAUCCUUGCUUCCUUGAUUCUUAUGUGAUUGGGUUUGCUGGUUCGUAUCAUGGGUUAAAACCAUAAACAAGCUCAAAUGGAGAAAACCCCGUGGAAGAAUGUAUGCUACGGUUAUAUGCAAAUUCAAUGAAAGGCAAAAAAUCUUCCCAAGUGUUCAAAUUCUUACCCACUAUAGCUCUGAGUAAGGUACCAAGAGUUCUAUUCACCACCUCUGUCUGGCCAUCUGUUUGUGGAUGACAAAUAGUAGAAUAUAAGAGUUUAGUACCCAACUUACCCCACAAUACUUUCCAAAAAUGCGAAAGGUACUUUGCAUCUCUAUCUGACACGAUUGUCCUUGGCACUCCAUGAAGUCGAACCACUUCCCUGAAGAACAAUUCAGCUACAUUGAUGGCGUCAUCAGUUUUAUGGCAAGGAAUAAAGUGAGCCAUCUUGCUAAACCUGUCGACAACAACAAAUAUGCUAUCUCUACCACGCCUAGUCCUAAGUAAGCCAAGCACAAAGUCCAUAGAAAUAUCCAUCCAAGGUGAACUAGGAACAAGUAAAGGCAUAUAAAGACCAUGAGGCAUAGACUUAGACUUUGCCUGUCUACAUGCAAUACAAGAAACGCACACUUUCUCAACAUCUUUGCGCAUAGAAGGCCAAUAAAAAUGCUCAAGUAAGGUGUCAUAAGUCUUAUGUACUCCAAAAUGCCCCAUCAAACCCUCUCAAUAAGAUUCAAGCACAAGCAAAUCACGCAUAGAGCAUCUAGGUGCACACAAUUUCUUACCCUUAAACAAGUAACCAUCAUGCCUAUAAAAAGAGUUAAAAGCUCCACGCUCACAAGCCACAAACAUAUUGCCGAAAUCAGUAUCAUUAAUGUACAAGUCCUUAACAUGCUCAAAACCAAGUAAUUUAGAACUCACAGCAUUAAUUAAAGCAGACCUCCUAGACAAAGCAUCUGCAACCACAUUGUCUUUCCCAUGCUUAUACUUAAUCACAUAUGGAAAUUGUUCAAUAAACUCAACCCACUCACCAUGCCUCUUAUUCAACUUGCCUUGUCCUUUCAAGUGUUUUAAGGAUUCAUGAUCCGUAUGUAUCACAAACUCCUUGGGCAGGAGAUAGUGUUGUCACCCGUCCAGUGCUCUCACCAAGGCAUACAGCUCCUUUUCAUAGGUUGAAUAAUUGAGAUGUGCUCCAUUCAACUUCUCGCUGAAAUAGGCUAUUGGUUUCUUUUCUUGCAUCAACACAGCCUCAAUACCUAUGCCAGAAGCAUCACACUCAAUUUCAAAAGUUUUAUCAAAGUUAGGUAAAGAUAAUAUAGGAGCGGAUGUUAACUUCCCUUUUGAGCAGUCAAAAGCUUUCUGUUGCUCCUCUCCCCACUUGAACCCAACUUCCUUCUUAAUAAUUCCUGUGAGUGGUGCUGCAAUCGUAGAGAAAUCGAGCACAAACCUCCUGUAAAAGCUUGCAAGGCCAUGAAAGCUCCUCACAUCUGAAAUAGAUUUAGGAAUAGGCCACUCCUUUAUAGCUUUCACCUUCUCUUCAUCUACCUCAAUUCUCUGUGCAUUCACAACAAAACCAAGGAAAAAUGUCUAUCUAUACAAAAUGUGCACUUCUUAAGUUUAGCAUACAAGCUCUCUUGCCUCAAAACCUGCGGAACCAACCUAACAUGCUCAAUAUCAAUGAAUUCCUGCAUCAUAGACUUAAAACUAGAAGGCAAAGAAGAAAGGUUAAUAUCAAUGUCAGCAAAUAAAAUCUCCUUAUAUCUUAUAAGCAACACGGGCUGCCCUAAAGAAAUAGCACCCUUAACCUCUCUCGCUCUCACAUAAAAUGUUUGUUUUGCCCUCCCCUCUUACAUCUUUUCUCUCACUAAUGGGCCAUUUAUAGGUCUUGAUUCUUUUCGAGCCUCUUUACCCUUAGACUCACUCUUUUCUCUCAUCUUUUCCGCAGAACUCAAGCUCUCACUCCCCUUUGUAGCCAAGGCCUAAGCCUCCCUCUCCCUCUCCAGCAUCUUUAUUUGAUCAGCAUAUACCUCUUGAGGUGAUAAAGGAGCGAGUAUAACCUUAUGUCCUUCAUGAGUAAAGGAGUACCUGUUAUUGAACCCAUCAUGCUGCACCUUUCUCUCAUAUUGCCACGGUCUACCCAACAACAUAUGGCUUGCCUGCAUAGGUACGACAUCACACAAGUUCUCAUCCUUGUACCUACUAAUAGAAAAUGGUAUAACCACCUGGCAUGUAACCCUAACCUCACCACAAUCAUUCAACUAUUGUAAUCUGUAUGGCUUAGGGUGUUUGAUAGAAGCCAAGCCCAAUUUCUCCACCAUAUACACACUAGCCACAUUUGUGCAACUACCUCCAUCAAUAAUGAGAGUACACACUUUUCCAUUAACUAAACACCUAGUGUGAAAUAUGUUUUCCCGUUGUUCUAGGCUUUCUUCCUUAACCUGGAUAUUUAGAGCACGCCUAGCAACAAGCAUCUCACCAUGUUCAGCAAGCAACACAUUAUCAACAAACACAUUCGAAUCAUCAUAGUCGUUAUGAGCAUCAAUCAAUUCAGUCAUAUUAGCAUAUAUCUCAUCAUCACUAUGAUCAGAAUCAGACACUACACCCCCAUCAACAGUUGCUAUCAUAACUCUCUUAUUAGGACAUUCAGAUGCAAUAUGUCCUUUCCCCAAGCAUUUAAAACAUUUUAUCUCUCUACUAUGGUUAGAAGAGUUAGAAUUUCCUGACUGUUGCUUGUUAUUACCUUGAGAAGGUCCUUUGUUAGUGGAGACCAAAUCUUUGCCCCCUUGGAUUGGGCUUUUGUAAUCUUUCUUUUCUCCACUUCUAUAGCCUGGAAAUCCACCACCACUAUUUGAGAACUUGUAUGUGAUUUUAAGGUUAUUUCUGCCCUUGUGACGCCUUUCUAUUUUCAUUGUUUUAUCAACCAUAUCCUCCAUGGUAUUGUAUUGGUACAUGUCAAGUUCUUCAGCAAUGUAGUGGUUAAGACCACCUAGAAACCUGGACAUCAACAUUUGCUCAUCCUCCUCAAUAUGAGCCCGAGCCAUCAUCAUCUCCAUCUUCUUGUGGUAUUCUUCCACACUCUUUCCUCCUUGCACCAGUCUUGCCAACCUUUUGUACAAAUCCCUAUAAUAGUGCGAGGAAUAAAUCUUUGGCGCAUCAACUCUUUCAAGUAUUCCUAUGGUGGAACUGCCCUUAAGCCCUUAUUCCUCCUAGUGGAUUUCAAUUGAUCCCACUAGAAAGAGGCAUAACCCGUGAACUCAACGGCAGGGAUAUGAGACUUCUUCUCCUCAGUAUAGUUAUGACACUCAAAUAUUUGCUCAGUUUUUCUCUCCCAUUCAAUGUAUUCUUCAGCAUUGUUAUUCCCUUUAAAUUCAGGAACUUUCAUCUUUAUUAAGGGUUACCGUCAAUUGUGUUGGUUUGGUAUGUCUCGGUGUCAUCAUCAUUUCUGCCAAGUCUAGCAUCUCCACCUCUAGUCCACCCAACGCCAGUUCUAUUACCUCCAUGAACUUCUCCUCUUCCCCUUCCUUGUCCGACAUUAUCUUCUGUAUCAUCAACUUCACCUCGGACUUGAGGUUCUCGAACUUGUGGUCUAUCGGGGUUAAGAAUUUGAUGAGCCAUUCUUGUAGAAGUGGAAGCCUGUGAGACUUUCAAACUCUCCAGAGUUUCGGUCAUCCUCUCAAGAGCCUUAUUGAGUCUUUGGAACUCACCACUGACUGACUUCAUAAAGAGUUUAUAAGCGAGACCCAUGUCCGAUUCACUUUCAUCAGUACUAUCCACCACAUUCUUGUCUUUACUCAUCCUACCUUAAAUCAACAAAGAACAAAGAACUAGCAAAUAUUGUGUUAGAAAAGAAAGCACUCAAGUGUUUGCACUCUUACCACUCUUUUGCUGAUUCUUCAAUUGCACUUCAGAAACUAAGGUCAAUCAACCAACCACAAGGUGCAUUUAAUGAAACAAAGAAGAAAAUCUAAAGAAAGUAGGAAACGUGCAAAACUAGAAAGAAGACACUGACAAUUUGGAAAGUAACACAAGAACUAGGUUUUGUGCUACUUGAAAAAUAUCACCUAGAGUAUAGACACAAGUAAACAAUACUCCAGCAAUGUCAAGGAAGUAAAAGCAAGCUUAAACCAAAAAAGGAAACUUAGAAUUCAAAUAAAAACGAACCUUGACAAAAGUUUGAAUUUAAUUCACUUCAAAGUAAAUUAAAUAUAGAUCUAUUUAAAUCUACCCAAAAAGGCAAGUAUCAAGACCGCACAAAUAGAAUCAGAAAAAAAAAUUUUAAUUUCACUCAGAUCAGCAUCAUGGACGAAAAUUCUAGCAUUAAAAGAAGGAUUUGACAUCAAAUCAAUUUAGAUGCAAUUACCUUAAAUGUGCACUUUAGGAAAUAGGCAGAAUUUCUUUUAUCUCCUAAUCUGGAUUCAAUGCAAUUCAAAAUUCAAAAUUGAUUCUCAUAAAUUACAGCCAUCAAUUGAAAUAGUUAAGGCAAUAUAGAUGAAAUAAAAAGUAUAUCACAAUUUCGGCCAGAUCAAGAUAAAUAAGGCAAAGGCGAUUUUUUUGUUUUUUUUUCUCUUUUUUUUUUAUGGAUUUCGAAUUUUUCUUCCAAAAGAGAUUAUGUGAUGAUUGAUAAUCAAGAAGGUACAGCCAUGGACACACAAGUUUUCACCGAAAUCAACAAGAAAGAAAAGGAAAACUCAAAACCCUUAGAUCCUAAGACGAAUUAGAAUUUACCUCACUUUGGCUCUGACACCGACGCGGAACCCUAUGGCACAAGCCUCAAACCCACAAGCAGAUAUGAAAUCCAAAGAUUUGAUAAACCCACCUCCUAUGGCACCCCACACUUAGAGAAGCUGAAACACCAAUGAUCGAAGGAUUUAGAUGAGAAUUCGACAAACGGCACAACGAAUAGUUGAUAAGUUAGCCAAGAUUCUUGGUGCAAUUGAUGAAAGCAAAUCCUCACUCUCACUCAAAGCAACACACGCCAAAGGCAUGAAAAGAAUUCUGAAAAUUUUGAUUCAAAGCUGCUCUAACAAGUGUUUCUUAUCCUUAUAUAGUAAGGAGAGAAAAUAGAACCCUAAGACACUCCUUUUAGGGUUGGUCGAACCACACACAAAACUCAAGCCCAAUCACACACUAAAAUAACACAUCAAACACAUAAGUAUU
rnacentral:lncRNA from 1 species